CCCUGCAAAAGUGAACCAAAAAUGAAGGAAUUUCCAUGGGAGGGUCCAAAUUUUAAAGCAAAUCUGCGGAAAUUCCAAAGGGUAGGUAAGAAAAAUGAGUAAAACGUAUGGAAUUUCCAUGGGAGGGUCAAUAAUGGAAAAGAAAUUCCAAAGGAUAGGAUCAAAAUCAGCAAGGAAUUUUCCAAGGGAUAGCUACUAAUCAAAGAGUCAAUACGGAAUUUCCACUGGCUAGAUAAAAAACUGUCAAGGAAUUUCCAUGGGAUGGGUUAAAAGUUCAUAAAAAAUUUG